UUUAUAAUGGUGCUCGCCAAUGAUUGUGACCCUUGUGCCUACGUAUCACUCAUCGGGGAUGAGGAAUCAGAGCUCCGUAGUUCGGAGUAGAAAAUGUUUGUGUGUUUGAUUGAUUUUACCUUUGAGAAAAGAGUUUUCGGGAUGGGUUCCCUAAGGUACAAAAAUUAGGUUUGAUGGGUUGGUUGGUUUUACCUUGAACCAUGGUU
rnacentral:lncRNA from 1 species